rnacentral:rRNA from 1 species
CCUACGGGAGGCAGCAGUGGGGAAUAUUGGGCAAUGGACGCAAGUCUGACCCAGCAACGCCGCGUGAAGGAAGAAGGCUUUCGGGUUGUAAACUUCUGGUAAGGGGGAAGAGCAGAAGACGGUACCCCUUGAAUAAGCCACGGCUAACUACGUGCCAGCAGCCGCGGUAAUACGGAGGUGGCAAGCGUUGUCCGGAUUUACUGGGUGUAAAGGGCGUGCAGCCGGAGAGACCAGUCAGAUGUGAAAUCCACGGGCUCAACCCGUGAACUGCAUUUGAAACUGUUUCCCUUGAGUGUCGGAGCGGUCAUCGGCUUUCCUUGUGUCGCGGUGUACUGCGUAGAUAUAAGGAAGAACCCCAGUGGCGAAGGCGGCUUACUGGACGCUACCUGCCGGUGAGGCGCGAAAGCGUGGGGAGCAAACCGGAUUAGCUACCCCAGUAGUC